rnacentral:rRNA from 1 species
GAUGAACGCUAGCGGCAGGCUUAAUACAUGCAAGUCGUGGGGCAGCAGGGUUGUAGCAAUACAAUCGCUGGCGACCGGCAAACGGGUGCGUAACACGUACGCAACCUUCCCGUUACUGUGGCAUACCCCAGGGAAACUUGGAUUAAUACCACAUAUUAUAUUGAGGGGGCAUCCCUUUGAUAUCAAAGCUUCGGCGGUAACGGAUGGGCGUGCGGUUGAUUAGGUAGUUGGCGGGGUAACGGCCCACCAAGCCUACGAUCAAUAGCUGAUGUGAGAGCAUGAUCAGCCACACGGGCACUGAGACACGGGCCCGACUCCUACGGGAGGCAGCAGUAAGGAAUAUUGGGCAAUGGACGAAAGUCUGACCCAGCCAUGCCGCGUGAAGGAUUAAGGUCCUCUGGAUUGUAAACUUCUUUUCUCUGGGGCGAAAACCAGCUAUUCUUAGCUAUUUGACAGUACCAGAGGAAUAAGCACCGGCUAACUCCGUGCCAGCAGCCGCCGUAAAAC